rnacentral:rRNA from 1 species
AGAGUUUGAUCCUGGCUCAGGACGAACGCUGGCGGCGCGCCUAACACAUGCAAGUCGAACGAGAGAGAAGGAGCUUGCUUCUUCGAUCGAGUGGCGAACGGGUGAGUAACGCGUGAGGAACCUGCCUCAAAGAGGGGGACAACAGUUGGAAACGACUGCUAAUACCGCAUAAGCCCCACGGAUUGGCAUCGAUCUGAGGGAAAAGGAGCAAUCCGCUUUGAGAUGGCCUCGCGUCCGAUUAG